ACGCACGCUGGCGGCGUGCUUCACACAUGCAAGUCGAACGGAAAGGCCCUGCUUUUGUGGGGUGCUCGAGUGGCGAACGGGUGAGUAACACGUGAGUAACCUGCCCUUGACUUUGGGAUAACUUCAGGAAACUGGGGCUAAUACCGGAUAGGAGCUCCUGCUGCAUGGUGGGGGUUGGAAAGUUUCGGCGGUUGGGGAUGGACUCGCGGCUUAUCAGCUUGUUGGUGGGGUAGUGGCUUGCCAAGGCUUUGACGGGUAGCCGGCCUGAGAGGGUGACCGGCCACAUUGGGACUGAGAUACGGCCCAGACUCCUACGGGAGGCAGCAGUGGGGAAUAUUGCACAAUGGGCGGAAGCCUGAUGCAGCAACGCCGCGUGCGGGAUGACGGCCUUCGGGUUGUAAACCGCUUUCGCCUGUGACGAAGCGUGAGUGACGGUAAUGGGUAAAGAAGCACCGGCUAACUACGUG
rnacentral:rRNA from 1 species